UCUCAUCUUCCACACAAGUAACCCUAGCCCCCUUCUACCCUUUCACUCAAACCUCUGCAUCUCUACACUCCGGCAACCAGAGCCGAAGUCCGGCGAGCUCCGACGACCCCCCUUCUCUCCGCUCAAGAACCACCAUCACCCUCCCCCUCCCUCGUUUUCAUUUUCUCACCAACCGCAUGAAGAAAAGUCAUACAAUGCUCGUUCACCGGAGCUCGUUAGAGAUCGAAGUUCACGACGGAGCUGUUUGGCCAUGUUUCGCUUGCCGAGCACGUAGCCGAAAACACCUUCCUUGCACCUCUCGGAUAUCUAAGCUCACCGGAGCCGCCCGAGGUUCGCGACGAAAACACGUCAUCGCCACAGUCUCAUUCGAACCCCUUCACAUUCACCGGAGAUUGCCGGAGGACCCGUACUCAAGUCGGAGACGUCCGAAGUCACAACGGGAACCACGCCACGUAUCGUUCGGUUGAGGAUGAUGAUGCUGCUAUGAAAAGAAGUAGCGUUGAUGCCUAGAUACGCAUAUAGACGUUUAGGUUUAAUAUGUUGUAUCAAUUUUGAUUAUGUUGUUAUGUAUUUCCUAUGAACUUGUUGUUAUUCGUAUUUCUUGUAUUGUUGACAAUUUACUUAUGAAAUGAAACCGGUUUAUUAAA